rnacentral:lncRNA from 1 species
UGUCAGCUCCUGCAAGCCUGUGAAAUAAGUGCCAGGCCAGGGCUUUGAACUCCUGAGCAGAAAGGUGAUUUGUAUGUGCACAGACCACUCACGAGGAGGCCCUUCAAUACAAGUGUCCCCCCAUAAUCCGGGUUUCUCUCCAGUUUCAGUUCCUGAGCAGGAUUCCCGGGGAGUCCAGAAUUAACCAGCUUAAUAAGCCCUUCCUCACUCCGCUUA